GGACCCGUAGCAUAACUGAAUAGUGCACUAGAUUACGGCUCUAGAGGUUGCAGGUUUGAAUCCUGCCGGGUUCACAA
rnacentral:tRNA from 1 species